ACUAUGUCCAACCUAGCCAUAGUUACAGGGCUCCCCCACACACACCCCGCUUUCCCCUUUCCGACCUAACAGUCUGUUAUGAAGGGAAGGGGAGGCGGGGCUGGGAGACCUGGAAGGGUGGGAAAGGAGCAAGAUUUGAGGUCCGGUCACCAUGUCUACCUGCCAGGCAGUGGGUACAGUGAUGCCCUUUGCGUCCAGCCAAUAAAGUAUUCUAAAUUGCAGAUCUGGAGAGAAGGAACGAGUAAAUCCAGAACUGCCUCUAGUAGCAGCUAAUGGCAAGGAAGCUUCCAGAGGGAGGAGGAGGACUCGGGUCCCUUCCCAAGAAUCCCAGAAGAGUCUGGAGAGUUCUGGGAGGGGCGGCACCCUGGACGCCGAUUGGUCCCAGAAAGCCUGGAGGCAGGACGCGAGACGAAACCCCUGGAAUAUUCCGGACCUGGC